rnacentral:lncRNA from 10 species
AAUAGAAUUUUCUCAAGGAUAUUUAAAAGAAGAAAGCAGCAUUUUCUAGUGGAUGAAGGGGUUUGAGCAGAGGGAGGUGGGAAUGUCAGGACCCUGGAGGACACAGGUGUCACCUGACCGUCAAGGAUAUGUCAGACACCAUACUGGUCAUUAUGGUAGGAGACACACUUGAAGCUGUUCACAGAGAGGAUGCCAAAAGCAGAGGCAUGUGAUGGAGAAUAAUGCAGGAGCUCAAAGAGCCUGUGGUGGGGAGUUGUAUGUGUCCACCUGGCUAGGAUGUAGCACACAGUUACUCAAUCCAACACUAAUCUAAGUGUUGCUCUGAAGGGAUUUUGUAGAUUGGGCUAACAUCUACUAUCAGUUGACUUAAGGAGAUUAUCUUCAAUAAUUUGAAUAGGCCCCAUUUGAUCAGUUAAAGGCCUAAAGAGUGGAAUUGAGGUUCCUCUGAGGAAGAAGAAAUUCUUCCCCAAGACUGCAGCAUCAUCAGCUCCUGCCUGAGCACUUGCAGCCUGCUGACCUGCCCUGAAGAUUUCAGAAUUUGCCAACCCCACAAUUCCAUGAGCAGAUACCUUAAAGUAAGCCUUUUUUUAUUUCUGUCUCUAUCUCUAUGUCUCUCUCUCUUCCUCUACUUCUACCUCUUUAUCUCCAUCGCUGCCUCCAUCUUCAUCACCAUCUCUAUCAUCUCUGUCUCCAUCUGUAUCUCUAAGUGUGCAUCCAUAUCUCUGUCUGCAUAUCUUGU